GAUGAACGCUGGCGGCGUGCCUAAUACAUGCAAGUCGAGCGAACAGACGAGGAGCUUGCUCCUCUGACGUUAGCGGCGGACGGGUGAGUAACACGUGGAUAACCUACCUAUAAGACUGGGAUAACUUCGGGAAACCGGAGCUAAUACCGGAUAAUAUAUUGAACCGCAUGGUUCAAUAGUGAAAGACGGUUUUGCUGUCACUUAUAGAUGGAUCCGCGCCGCAUUAGCUAGUUGGUAAGGUAACGGCUUACCAAGGCAACGAUGCGUAGCCGACCUGAGAGGGUGAUCGGCCGCACUGGAACUGAGACACGGUCCAGACUCCUACGGGAGGCAGCAGUAGGGAAUCUUCCGCAAUGGGCGAAAGCCUGACGGAGCAACGCCGCGUGAGUGAUGAAGGUCUUCGGAUCGUAAAACUCUGUUAUUAGGGAAGAACAAAUGUGUAAGUAACUAUGCACGUCUUGACGGUACCUAAUCAGAAAGCCACGGCUAACUACGUG
rnacentral:rRNA from 1 species